CUACGGGUCGCUGCAGUGGGGAAUAUUGGACAAUGGGCGCAAGCCUGAUCCAGCAAUGCCGCGUGAGUGAAGACGGCCUUAGGGUUGUAAAACUCUUUCGCUAGGGAAGAUAAUGACUGUACCUAGUAAAGAAGUCCCGGCUAACUCCGUGCCAGCAGCCGCGGUAAUACGGAGGGGACUAGCGCUGUUCGGAAUUACUGGGCGUAAAGAGUUCGUAGGCGGACUGACAAGUUAGAGGUGAAAUCCCAGGGCUCAACCCUGGAACUGCCUUCAAAACUGUCAGUCUAGAGACCGGAAGAGGUUAGGGGAAUACCUAGUGUAGAGGUGAAAUUCGUAGAUAUUAGGUGGAACACCAGUGGCGAAGGCGCCUAACUGGUCCGGUACUGACGCUGAGGAACGAAAGCGUGGGGAGCAAACAGGAUUAGAUACCCCCGUAGUC
rnacentral:rRNA from 1 species